rnacentral:rRNA from 1 species
AACGCGAAGAACCUUACCUAGGCUUGACAUACACGUGACGGCUUUCAGAGAUGAGAGCUUCCCUUCGGGGCACGUGCACAGGUGCUGCAUGGCUGUCGUCAGCUCGUGUCGUGAGAUGUUGGGUUAAGUCCCGCAACGAGCGCAACCCUUAUCCCUAGUUGCCAUCGGGUCAAGCCGGGCACUCUAGUGAAACCGCCCAGGAUAACUGGGAGGAAGGUGGGGAUGACGUCAAGUCCUCAUGGCCUUUAUGUCCAGGGCUACACACGUGCUACAAUGGUCGGUACAAACCGUCGCAAACCCGCGAGGGGGAGCUAAUCGGAAAAAGCCGGCCUCAGUUCGGAUUGGAGUCUGCAACCCGACUCCAUGAAGCUGGAAUCGCUAGUAAUCGCGGAUCAGAACGCCGCGGUGAAUACGUUCCCGGGCCUUGUACACACCGGACUA